AGUGAACGCUGGCGGUAGGCCUAACACAUGCAAGUAGAACGGCAGCACAGUAAGAGCUUGCUCUUACGGGUGGCGAGUGGCGGACGGGUGAGGAAUACAUCGGAAUCUACUUUUUCGUGGGGGAUAACGUAGGGAAACUUACGCUAAUACCGCAUACGACCUACGGGUGAAAGCAGGGGAUCUUCGGACCUUGCGCGAUUGAAUGAGCCGAUGUCGGAUUAGCUAGUUGGCGGGGUAAAGGCCCACCAAGGCGACGAUCCGUAGCUGGUCUGAGAGGAUGAUCAGCCACACUGGAACUUAGACACGGUCCAGACUCCUACGGGAGGCAGCAGUGGGGAAUAUUGGACAAUGGGCGCAAGCCUGAUCCAGCCAUACCGCGUGGGUGAAGAAGGCCUUCGGGUUGUAAAGCCCUUUUGUUGGGAAAGAAAAGCAGCAGGUUAAUACCCCGCUGUUCUGACGGUACCCAAAGAAUAAGCACCGGCUAACUUCGUG
rnacentral:rRNA from 1 species